rnacentral:rRNA from 1 species
GACGAACGCUGGCGGCGUGCCUAAUACAUGCAAGUCGAGCGAAUUUAUGAGAGCUUGCUCUCGUAAAUUAGCGGCGGACGGGUGAGUAACACGUGGGCAACCUGCCUAUAAGACUGGGAUAACUUCGGGAAACCGGAGCUAAUACCGGAUAAUUCACAUCUACUCAUGUAGAUGUGCUGAAAGACGGUUUCGGCUGUCACUUAUAGAUGGGCCCGCGGCGCAUUAGCUAGUUGGUGAGGUAACGGCUCACCAAGGCAACGAUGCGUAGCCGACCUGGGAGGUUGAUCGGCCACACUGGGACUGAGACACGGCCCAGACUCCUACGGGAGGCAGCAGUAGGGAAUCUUCCGCAAUGGACGAAAGUCUGACGGAGCAACGCCGCGUGAGUGAUGAAGGUUUUCGGAUCGUAAAACUCUGUUGUUAGGGAAGAAUAAGUACUAGAGUAACUGCUAGUACCUUGACGGUACCUAACCAGAAAGCCACGGCUAACUACGUGCCAGCAGCCGCGGUAAUAC